UGGGGAAUAUUGCGCAAUGGGCGAAAGCCUGACGCAGCGACGCCGCGUGGGGGAUGAAGGCCUUCGGGUUGUAAACCCCUUUCAGCAGGGACGAAGCGAAAGUGACGGUACCUGCAGAAGAAGCGCCGGCUAACUACGUGCCAGCAGCCGCGGUAACACGUAGGGCGCAAGCGUUGUCCGGAAUUAUUGGGCGUAAAGAGCUCGUAGGCGGUCCGCCACGUCCGCUGUGAAAACCUAGGGCUUAACCCUGGGCUUGCAGUAGAUACGGGCAGACUAGAGGUAGGUAGGGGAGAAUGGAAUUCCCGGUGUAGCGGUGAAAUGCGCAGAUAUCGGGAGGAACACCGGUGGCGAAGGCGGUUCUCCGGGCCUUACCUGACGCUGAGGAGCGAAAGCGUGGGGAGCAAACA
rnacentral:rRNA from 1 species